GCAAAUUCAGUCCAUCAACAAUUAUUCACUCAUCACAAUUUCAUUAUUAAGAUUUCAAUUGUAAAAAAAAGAUUAACAGAGAAAGAGAAACGCUGCGUUUGGUCCACCGCAAAUAGGGUGGAUAGUCGUGUAGUUUUAACUUCUCAAUACGCAAAAUCCUAUCUUCUUCUUCCUAGAUUCGCUCGACAUUCCACCUUCUCCGUGCUCAAAUUUCCUUCGCCUUCAAAACGCUCCGACCACCAUAAACGCACACCUCCACAUCUCGUCACUGUCUCAGUUCGACCGUCAUCACAUUCAAUUCUUGCUCCUCCUCCGUAA